rnacentral:rRNA from 1 species
UACAGAGGGUGCGAGCGUUGUCCGGAAUCAGCUGGGCGUAAAGGGCGCGUAGGCGGUCCGUUAAGCGUGUGGUGAAAGCCCGGGGCUACAACGUCCGGGUCUGCCGUGCGAACUGGGGGACUGGAGCUGUCAGAGGCAGGAGGAAGUUCCGGGUGUAGCGGUGGAAUGACGUAGAGAUCCGGAAGAACACCGGUGGCGAAGGCGGCCUGCUGGGACAGUGCUGACGCUGAGCGCGACAGCGUGGGGAGCAA